ensembl:snRNA U5 U5 spliceosomal RNA
AUACUCUGGUUUCUCUUCAGCUUGUAUAAAUCUUUUGCCUUUUGCUAAAGAUUUCUGUGGGGAGGAACAUUUAUGAGUUUCUACUCAAUUUUGUGAGGCUUCACUUUGGUGAGGGG